UCCUUGAUUCGUAUCCUCGCUGGCAUUGU
rnacentral:piRNA from 1 species